rnacentral:rRNA from 1 species
GGGAGCGCCGGUGGUGAAGUCGGGGUAAGACGUGGGUUGGAUUGGUGGUGUGGAUUGAGUGGGCGUAAGGGGCGGGGAGGCGGUCCUGUAAUUCGGAUGGGAAAGCCCACGGCUCAACCGUGGAGGGUCAUUGGAAACUGGGGGACUUGAGUGCAGAAGAGGAAAGCGGAAUUCCACGUGUAGCGGUGAAAUGCGUAGAGAUGUGGAGGAACACCAGUGGCGAAGGCGGCUUUCUGGUCUGUAACUGACGCUGAGGCGCGAAAGCGUGGGGAGCAAACAGGAUUAGAUACCCGUGUAGUU